GACGGGCGGUGUUUGGCACCUCGAUGUCGGCUCAUCACAUCCUGGGGCUGAAGUAGGUCCCAAGGGUAUGGCUGUUCGCCAUUUAAAGUGGUACGCGAGCUGGGUUUAGAACGUCGUGAGACAGUUCGGUCCCUAUCUGCCGUGGGCGCUGGAGAAUUGAGGGGGGCUGCUCCUAGUACGAGAGGACCGGAGUGGACGCAUCACUGGUGUUCGGGUUGUCAUGCCAAUGGCACUGCCCGGUAGCUAAAUGCGGAAGAGAUAAGUGCUGAAAGCAUCUAAGCACGAAACUUGCCCCGAGAUGAGUUCUCCCUGAGACUUUAAGUCUCCUGAAGGAACGUUGAAGACGACGACGUUGAUAGGCCGGGUGUGUAAGCGCAGCGAUGCGUUGAGCUAACCGGUACUAAUGAACCGUGAGGCUUAACCUUAC
rnacentral:rRNA from 1 species